UCACGGCCGGUGUGAUUCACACAUUGCCUUCCCAGUUGGAAGCAUAUAUUGCACACUGCCUAAGUGAUGUUCACAGUGCUAGUGAUCCUUGUCACUGAAAUACGAGAGAGAAAGAAGAAAGUGGAGAGGUAGUGAGAAACACUACAUUUGGGAGGUUGGGAGUUAGAAACUGUGUUUCUGGUUUUGAAGGUUCCACGAAGUGCCCGCUCGUCCUUCUGGUACAGGACCGAGGGAAAAGAGGGAAAACCUUGAUCGAGUUGGCCGGCCGCAGGAGCUUCCGAAUGCAGACUGACUUCUAGCCAGCAGACAGGCAUUAAAUACCUCUUAGAUCUACGGUGGAGGGAUUGGACCCCGCCUCCACGCGGGACGGGACGGAAGAAACAAAGGCAGCACAGAGAGGCUUGCAGAACUGGUGU